GUAGGUGGCAAGCGUUGUCCGGAAUUAUUGGGCGUAAAGCGCGCGCAGGCGGUUCUUUAAGUCUGAUGUGAAAGCCCACGGCUCAACCGUGGAGGGUCAUUGGUAACUGGAGAACUUGAGUACAGAAGAGGAAAGCGGAAUUCCACGUGUAGCGGUGAAAUGCGUAGAGAUGUGGAGGAACACCAGUGGCGAAGGCGGCUUUCUGGUCUGUAACUGACGCUGAGGCGCGAAAGCGUGGGGAGCAAACAGGGAUUAGAUACCCUGGUAGUCCACGCCGUAAACGAUGAGUGCUAAGUGUUAGGGGGUUUCCGCCCCCUUAGUGCUGCAGCUAACGCAUUAAGCACUCCGCCUGGGGAGUACGGCCGCAAGGCUG
rnacentral:rRNA from 1 species